rnacentral:piRNA from 1 species
UGCCCACGUCGUGAAGCUGAGGCUGAUCCA